rnacentral:rRNA from 1 species
GCAUGUGAUAGUUCACACAGAUUAAUAGUGAGACUGCGGACGGCUCAGUAAAUCAGUUAUAAUCUAUUCGAAAGUAUAACCCAUUGGAUAACCGUGGGAAAUCUAGAGCUAAUACAUGUAGAAAAUGUAGUUAAUAGCAAURUUAGCUACGAGCAUUUAUUAGAAAAAACCAACUACUACUAGGACCACAAUCCUAGUUAGUAAGGUGAUUCUAGAUAACUCUGUUAAUCGCAUGGUCUUGUACCGGCGAUGUUUCGAUUGAAUUUCUGCCCUAUCAACUUGUUGGUAAGGUAGUGGCUUACCAAGGUUGCAACGGGUAACGGGGAAUCAGGGUUCGAUUCCGGAGAGGGAGCCUGAGAAACGGCUACCACAUCCAAGGAAGGCAGCAGGCGCGCAAAUUACCCAAUCCAGACAAUGGGAGGUGGUGACCAGAAGUACUGGGUGGUGGAUAAUUAUCCACUAAUCCCGGAAUGAGCAUAAACUAAACAUUUAGUCGAGUAACAACUGGAGGGCAAGUCUGGUGCCAGCAGCCGCGGUAAUUCCAGCUCCAGUAGCAUGUCGUAAAGUUGUUGCGUUUAAAACGCUCGUAGUUGGAUCAUACAGUAUCAAUUAGUUGGUUUACAAUGAUAGGCAGUAAAAAGCAAUUAUUGAAUUCCAUUAGGAUGAAAAUAACUGUUGUCUAUCAUGUAAAUUGUUUGCUAAUUAAUACUACUUGCAUGUAAGAAUGGUGAUUGGCCUUUAGUGUGUUGGUCAUUGUGUCUUACAGAGUGUGCCUUGAAUAAAUCAGAGUGCUUAAAGCAGGCUAUUGCCUGAAUGAUUCAGCAUGGAACGAACAAUAGAGUAACAUGUAUAUGAAAUAAUUGGUUCGCCAUUAUUUCUAUGCAUAUCUCCAACCACCAUGUACGGAUGUUGGUUUCCGUAUUGGGGUGAUGAUUAAAACGAGCGGUUGGGGGCAUUGGUAUUUGGCCGCGAGAGGUGAAAUUCUUAGACCGGUCAAGGACUAACAAAAGCGAAGGCAUUUGUCAAGACCGUCUCGAUUGAUCAAGAACGAUAGUGAGGGUUCGAAAGGUGAUCAGAUACCGCCCUAGUCCUCACCGUAAACUAAUGCGACCCGGGAUCAGUUUAGAGCAAAUGAACGCUUCCAGGUUUGGUCCCCUGGAAACCUCAAGUUUUUGGGUUACGGGGGGAGUAUGGUCGCAAGGCUGAACUUAAAGGAAUUGACGGAAAGGGCACCACCAGGGGUGGAGCAUGCGGCUUAAUUUGACUCAACACGGGAAAACUCACCCGGUCCGGACGUAAAAAUGAUUGACAGACUUAAGAUCUUUCACGAUAUUACGCGUGGUGGUGCAUGGCCGUUCUUAGUUCGUGAUGUGAAUUGUCAGUUUCAUUACGGUAACGAACGAGACAAUAGUCUUCAUUUACAAUGUAGUAUAGUUGGUGGUAACAUCAACUCUAGUCGAGGUAUGCAUGGUAGAUAUCAUUAUCUAUCAUGUAUAACAGAUUAUUCUACUACAAUGUUGUUUGCAGUAAUGUGAGCAACUGCAUGGAGAGACAACUGACUAUAAUAGUAAAAUCAGAGGAAGAAUUGCAAUAACAGGUCUGUGAUGCCCUUAGAUGUUCGGGGCUGCACGCGCGCUACAAUGAUGAUCGCAACAAGAUAUCUGCUCCGAAAGGAGUGGGAAAUCUUUCAAUGGUCAUCGUGAUGGGGAUUGUCCAUUGUAAAUUGGACAUGAAAUAGGAAUCCCUUGUACGUGCACUUCAUUAGAGUGCGUGGAAUGAGUCCCUGCCCUUUGUACACACCGCCCGUCGCUACUACCGAGUGAAUUAUGUCAUGAUGCCUUGGGACUGGACGCUGCGUGGAAACAAUAAGUGCUAGAAUCAAGGUAAA